UCUCCGUUGGUGAACCGGCGGAGGGAUCAUUACUGGACUCGCAAGACUCCUACAACCCUGUGAACUUAACUAUAAGCACGUUGCUUCGGCGGGUGUCUCGGAGGGGGUUCUCCCUCCCCGAGACGCUAAACCCGCCGGCAGCCUACUAUACUCUGUCUCUUUGCGUUGGCAUCUCGAGUACAAUCAAACAAGUUAAAACUUUCGACAACGGAUCUCUUGGUUCUG
rnacentral:misc_RNA from 1 species